ensembl:lncRNA
UUUCAGAGCAAAGAAUAUAAGCAGGGAAAGUGAGGGUUUUUUCAUCAUAAUGAGUGGGUCUAUCGAGACACAACUAUCCUAAUAUUUAUGGAUCUAAUAACAGAUUCAAAAUUCAUGAAGCGACAACUGAUAGAACUGCAAUAAGUUGUCAAAAACAAGAGUAUGGGUAAGGCUGGAAACAGCCCUUGAGGGAGAGAACCAUGGUUCAGGGGGUCACCAAAAUCAGUAGGGACUACGACAUAAAUAACAUCCCCCUACCAAGCUGCACGCACCUUCAUCCCCAGGAUGUGUGAAUACCAUGUGUUCCUUACCUGCUUUACGGAGAUGAUUAACCCAAAGGUCUUGAUGAGGGAGGAUGAUCCUAAUUCUCCAGGUGAGGCCUUGGAGAGAUGGGACACACAGGCAUGAGCUGAGAAAUGUGGGUGCCCUCUUAAGCUGGAGAGGAAAAGAAAAUGAAUCCUCCAAGUUUCCAGGGUGCAGCCAUGUGGCUCCUUUCAGAUUUCUGAUCCCACAACUACAAGGUAAUAAGGUCAUGUCUUUUUUAAACCCCUAAAUUGGCUCAUGCCUCCAAGGUCUUAACACCUGCCACUUCUGCUUAGGGAAAGCCUGAUUCUCUACCAAAAGAAGAAAGGAAAUCUUCUCUGCCUGGUGGAGAAGAGGUGCAACAGCUCUUCUGUAGGUUCAUAGAAAGAAUGUGGUGUCCAGGUCUUCUGGGCCCAGGGCCAGGCCCUGACACCCACAGGCACCCAGUCCGUCUACAGUGAUCUUGACAACUGUCGUAUCUUGUCUGUUACACUGCUUCCUUUGCUUCCUUCCCCAACAGUAACAGCUGCUGUGGCUUGUUCUGGAGAACAUCCUCAGCAGAAACAUCUGGCCCCUGCUCACGCCUCACUCAGCAGCCCAGCUGUGCUCAGACCACAGCAUUGUGCCCAUUCAGUUUGUACCAGAGACAGCAGCUGAAGAGGAAGCACUGAGACUCCAGCAUAGGCGGAAGUUCUGCCACACCAUUUGCACACACGGGGGCUGGAUGUCCGGGAUAUGUGAGGCGUUGGAGGAAAUGAGGAAGACUCAGUCCCAGUCCUCCAGGAGGUGGCAGUCCAGUCCAACAUCUCAACACCCACCAUAGAGGGAUCAGGAUUACCUCAAGAGGUGUCUUCAGGCUCAUAAAGGAGUCUGUCCCCUGGCAUAUUCAAUGUAACAACCCUUCACAUCCACUGCUUCCGUAGUUCUGUGCACCGCUGUGAGGACAUGAGAUGAAUGAGAGAAGCAUUCACCCCCCUCGGCACACAGGCCCUGCACAGGACGGUUCCUAGACAGUGGGGGGAGCACCGGGGCCAGCACAGUGCAGAGGCUGUGAAACCGAUGGAGCCUCAACUCCACAGGAGUGUGUCGGAUUCUCUCAGCACUCUCAUCAGAUCUGAGAGCAGGAGACCUGUCUCCUGUCUCACCUUGGGGAGAAUCACAGAGCCCAGGUGAUGCAGCCCUGCCACUGGCAUACACAGAGGAUCUUGUCAAGUUGCUGAAUUUGAGCCUUUUUGAAGUAGACAAUCGUAUCUUCCAAGCUCAGUUGUGGAGAGAUUUUUAUUAUGUAUAAAACACAGACCAUACAAUGAACCUUCCACAGAUUGAUUUUCUUUCUUCCUUAAAACCCAUCCCAGAAAUAUGGACGGAAGAAUGGCAGGAAGCAAAAGGAGGAUGUGAUUUGGUAGAGAAUGAAGGUGCUGUGGGCAGAGUGGCCAGGCUGUCUGUGCCUUAAAUCAGCUUCCCUCUCUGUGGCAGCUCAAAGCAGACAAGGAGAAUUGUCCACUUAAAGAGAAGAUUGUCUUCUAAUCACCCAUCUUCCCACCCCAACACUGAUGGGCCAUCUCACCCAUCUUGGAUGUGUUUCAUUCAUUCAACUGUAUAAAUCAUGCUGAACAGGGCUACUCAGAAAAGGGUUUACAGACCAGCAUGUAAGUGAAAAGGCUUGCCUGGAGUGUAGACCAGCUCCAUCAGAAGCACAUCGAUGGCUCAGUUCAGACCUCAUUGUCUUGAGAGGGAGACCUUAGCUGGCACCGAGGACGAGGGCCUCUCUCCCUCAGGACCAGUCCCCUUGGUGCCCUCAGCCGGCUGCUCUGAGUAGCUGUCUCACAGCACCAGGUCACCCCCACUACCUGGACCUGCCCAACCUGUGGCUUGUGGUCAGCUGGAAGCACCAGUGCUCCCGACAGGGCUGUGGCUUACAAUAAAAUUCCCGGCUCCCCAUGGUGGAGCCUGGGCACUGAAGAGCUGACGUCACGCCUGACUCAGCAAUCUGGGCCUCGUGCUUUUGAGAAGAGAAG